GGCUUGCUGGACAAUGACGAUCUGCAUACCUUUUCAUUUUGACUGUUCACCGCAAAAAAAAAAAAAACAAGAGAGAGAGAGUAAAGAUGACGAUCUUCACCAAAGAGGCGACAAACCUCACGGACCUCCGCCGAUGGCCCUUCAAGCUUUGGUGAUUCUUGAGGUAAUCCCUUCGUCUUCGAUCUACAACAUAUGAGCUUCAACGACAACUUAUAUAAACUUUGACAAUGGUUUCUUCACCGAGAAAACUCAUGGAGCUCCGGCACUAACAAUACAACUUCAGAUCGUGAUUCCGAUCUUUUCUUCGCCAUCGAUAUGUGCAAGAAAAAAGCUAUGGCGUACACACAAGAUCAGAUUUACUCUCUCCUCCAAGAACGACAAAUACAAUAGAAAGUUCCAUCAUGUUUGAGAUUGGAGGAUUAUCCCAAGGAGCGCAACACAAGGUGGAUAAUCUCAUGAAAGAGCAUUUCAGAUUGAUGAAGGAAGUAUGGAACGUGUGUCUCAAACAACAUCAACAAAUGCAAGAGUAUCUUCUGCAUGAAAGAAAUUAAUGGAAGUGUUUCAUGUCUGAAAUACCACUUGGUUGGAGGUAACACAAGUGUCAAGAUGUGUCCUAAUUGUCAAGAGCAUGUGAAGGUUGAGCUGCAAAACUAUGCAAUCAAAAAAGCUGAGGAAAUGGCAGCUCAGAGUUUGUGUCUUGAUCCUUGAUAAUAUCGAUGGUCAGGAAGAUGUGGAAGUUGAGCCUAAACAGAAAGCUAGCCCUUAACAAGAGGAAGAAGAGAGGUCUAUUGAACAUGUAUGUAAUUUCGGUUCACUGUUAUUGGCAUGAUGAAUAAGGUUUGCUUGACCAUUAGACUGGUAUGUAACUAUAUGUUCUAUGCUCUUGGAUAGAUAUGUCACCUCAACUCCUCCUGGCAUUAUGAAAGGAAGGAAAGACAUGAUGCGUGUGUUUGGAGUUUGUGACAAAGAGCUAAGAGAAAAGGUUUGUGCUGGAAUAGCGAGAUGGUUCUAUGAUGCAUGCAUUUUGUUUAAUGAUGUCAUCUAUGACUCAUUCAAAGAGAUGACAGAUUUGAUUGGGCAGUAUGGAAUGAGUUUAAAGAUAUCUAUUAUGCUUGAGCUAAGAGUCUCUUUUUUUCAGAAGGAAGUGGCCAACACUCCCAUUAUGCUUUUUCAACGCAAAAAUGAGUGGGCUGCCAAAAGGUGUUCUAUAAGGUCAAAUGGAGGUCGUGACUCUGUGGUCCAGAAGGACAUAGUUAACUUUCUAGUUAACUCUCAUAAAGACUUUGUUUUCAUAAAUUCUAAGGAAGUCUCAAAAGUUGUGAAAAAUGCAACAAUGCUGUUCAAACUGCUUGAUGAGAUGGUUGAAGAUGUUGGUGAGAAGAAUGUGGUUCAAGUGAUAACAGACAAUGCAUCUAAUUAUGUGAAAACAACAAUUGUCUAUCUACGGGCCUCUUUGUGCAGCACAUUAUAAAAAAAUUUGAUGUAAUUAAAAACAAUUUGAAUUGCAGGAAAAUUGCUUGAGGCCAAACAGCCAAACCUUUAUUGGACUCCUUGUGCAUCACAUUAUCUUGAUCUUAUACUAGAAGACAUUGGUAAGUUGGAGCCAGUGAAAAAUGCAUUAAAGAAGUGUAUCUUCAUGAAUAGUUACAUUUAUUGUCGUGUGCCAUUUGUGAACAUGAUGAGGAGAUUCACCAAUCAACGCAAUCUCCAUUGCCCAGCUGUAACAAGGUUUGCCACUUCAUUCAUCACCAUGUCUCAGUUUCACAUUAAACAGUCAAACCUGAAGAAAAUGGUCACAUUUGAUGAUUGGAACAAGACCAAAUGACCAAGGGAAGAAGGGGUAAAGAAAUUGAAGCAAUACAUUCUUCAAGAAAGCUUCUAGAGGAACAUUAGCUAUGCACUCAAGCUGACUGGUCCACUAGUAAAGGUUUUUAUGAUGGUAGAUGGAGAAAAGAAACCGGCUAUGGGGUACAUAUAUGCUACUAUGGACAAAGGUAGAAAGGCUAUUGCAAUGAGUUUCAAGAUGAAGCAAGAAAAAUAUGAGAAUGUGUUUGAGAUCAUUGAUAAAAGGUGGAAUUAUCAGCUUCAUCAGCCUUUUCACGCAGUUUGAUACUUCCUCAAUCGAGCUAUCCAUUACGCCAAUCCAGAAGACAUUUUCUGUGAGGAAGUUGAGUAUGGUUUGUACAAUUAUAUCAACAGACUGGUCCCGGAUAGUGAGGUUCAAGAUAAGGUGAUGUUGGAGCUUGAUUUGUUUAAAAAAGCAACUGGUCUCUUUGGCCAUAACAUGGAAAUAAGACAAAGAGAAAUGAAAGCGCUAGCUGAUUGGUGGUCUACUUAUAGAUCUCCAGCUCUUAAUUUAAGAGACUUUGCUGUGAAAGUAUUUAUUUUAACUUACAAUGCAUCCGGAUGUGAAAGAAAUUGAAGUGUUUUUGAGCUUGUGUGUUUGUUAUAUGCAUUUUAUUUCGUAGCCAGUCAGAUUGUUUUCUAAGUUCACUAAUGUUUUAUUUUUCCAUUUUUUAUAGCUUCACACAAAGAGAAGAAACCGUCUAGCUCAACAUUGCCUGAAUGACAAGGUGUUUGUGAAGUACAACAGAGCCUUGAAACUUCGUAUGAAGAGAAGUGAUAUCAUGAAUCAUAUUCUUGUAGAAGAGAUUGAUGAAAGUAAUGAAUGGUUGAUGGGAAAAAUGAAAGAGAACUCUCACAAUAAUUAUCUUUGACAAUAAAAUAGAUAGAUUUUGUUCGGAUA